CUGACGAUAGCAAAGAUUAUAGCAAACACCACAGAAACAGAAUUGGUGCUCGCUAGCUCUGCAAAUUCAGCUAUUGUUGGAAGCCAGCCAAUAUAAAACAUAAACUAUAUUAAAAUUACAAAAGGUUGCAGCAUACGUUGUGUAAAUGGUGAACUCAUACAGCUGUCAACCCUUGUCACUGCAAUCCGUUUCACAUUUGCUAGCUGACUAGCUAGCUUCCUUUUAGAUCGAAGCCAUCUAGAAUGAUAGAUGCCCAUCUCCUACUGUAAAUAACCUGCACACUGUGCGUGUGUAGCCAGCCAGCCAGGUAGAAAAAUGGCAGAAAAAAGACGGACAUCAAGAGUAUUUUUCAGUACACCAAAACGCAAAGCAGAGCAGGCAACAGAUGGCACACAGACAGCAGAGCUAGGGACAGA